CAUUUACACAAAGCUGACGCAUCUUUCUGGGUUUUUCUCUUUAAAAGUAAAAAAGAGAGAGAAAGAGAACCAUGUACAGCAUGGAAGCUUUUUGUCAAUUUCUCGACUGUGGCAAGAUUUGAAUCCGCUGCCUUGAAGAAUCCCUGAAAACAACCCCCGAGAGGAUCAAGAAAGGGAUGAAAUACUGGUUUAUACAUCCACUGCUGCAUGUGGCCUGAAAAUAACACUUUUCGUUAGAAAAGGAAAGUCAAGAAGUCGUGGCCUCACGGUGCCCCGGGGCUUGGGUUUACCUGCCAAAGUAAAAAGCGAACUCGG